GUAAAUCAAUAUAAAAAUAUCGAACUUGGCGGAUUGUCUGAAAGGACGACGUCUGUCUGUCUGUCUGUCUGUCUACAUCGUAGUCAGUCAGUCAGUUAUGCUUCGACGAGGUCGGCCGGAUCGACGUUGGCGGGCUCGCUACUGCUAUUAAAAAUAAGCGAGCGAAUUCGCCAGUUAUCCGGUAAACGACGACGUUACAUCGGGUACCUGGGAGAAGAGGUGUGAAUCACCUCUCUCCGCGGAAGGAAGCGGCGGCUAUUCGUUAGCCUCCUCGUCCUCCGAGGUAUUGAAAGAUUUUCGCCCGACCGUCGAGGAAGCAGACGACGUGCCUCUCGCUCGACAUCCCAUAACGAGGGGCGAAAGGAGACUCGCGUCUUCGCCGCUAGCACACCGCGUCUGUACGUGAACAACAUGUGUAGUGCGUUAUAAAGCGGCGAAACUCGAACGUCUCCCUCGCCCCUUUUUUCAAUUUCAAACAAUUGCCACCUUUCGAUAUGUGAACGUGAACACGCAAGAGGGACGCUUACGCGUCUCCUCGCGUCACGUCAAAAUCUCUAACGAUUACCCUGAACGGUGAAUCAC
rnacentral:misc_RNA from 1 species